ACGGAAGGCAGCAGUGGGGAAUAUUGGGCAAUGGGCGAAAGCCUGACCCAGCGACGCCGCGUGAAGGAUGAAGGUCUUCGGAUUGUAAACUUUUGUCAGCAGGGAAGAAGAAAGUGACGGUACCUGCUAAGAAAGCCACGGCUAACUACGUGCCAGCAGCCGCGGUAAUACGUAGGUGGCGAGCGUUAUCCGGAUUUACUGGGUGUAAAGGGUGUGUAGGCGGGGCUGCAAGUCAGAAGUGAAAAUUAUUGGCUUAACCAAUAACCUGCUUUUGAGACUGUGGCUCUUGAGGGUCGGAGAGGUAAGCGGAAUUCCCAGUGUAGCGGUGAAAUGCGUAGAUAUUGGGAGGAACACCAGUGGCGAAGGCGGCUUACUGGACGACAACUGACGCUGAGACACGAAAGCGUGGGGAGCAAACAGGAUUAGAUACCCUGGUA
rnacentral:rRNA from 1 species